AACGAACGCUGGCGGCAUGCCUAACACAUGCAAGUCGAACGAGACCUUCGGGUCUAGUGGCGCACGGGUGCGUAACGCGUGGGAACCUGCCUUUAGGUUCGGAAUAACUCAGAGAAAUUUGAGCUAAUACCGGAUGAUGUCUUCGGACCAAAGAUUUAUCGCCUUUAGAUGGGCCCGCGUUGGAUUAGCUAGUUGGUGGGGUAAAGGCCUACCAAGGCGACGAUCCAUAGCUGGUCUGAGAGGAUGAUCAGCCACACUGGGACUGAGACACGGCCCAGACUCCUACGGGAGGCAGCAGUGGGGAAUAUUGGACAAUGGGCGAAAGCCUGAACCAGCAAUGCCGCGUGAGUGAUGAAGGCCUUAGGGUUGUAAAGCUCUUUUACCCGAGAUGAUAAUGACAGUAUCGGGAGAAUAAGCUCCGGCUAACUCCGUG
rnacentral:rRNA from 1 species